rnacentral:rRNA from 1 species
GAUGAACGCUAGCGGCAGGCCUAAUACAUGCAAGUCGAACGAGAUCCAGGAGCUUGCUUUUGGUGAAAGUGGCGCACGGGUGCGUAACGCGUAUGCAACCUACCUUAAUCAGGGGGAUAGCCUCUCGAAAGAGAGAUUAACACCGCAUAACAUCAUUUUACGGCAUCGUAGAAUGAUCAAAUAUUUAUAGGAUUAAGAUGGGCAUGCGUGACAUUAGCUAGUUGGUGAGGUAAUGGCUCACCAAGGCUACGAUGUCUAGGGGAUCUGAGAGGGUGACCCCCCACACUGGUACGGAGACACGGACCAGACUCCUAAGGGAGGCAGCAGUAAGGAAUAUUGGUCAAUGGAGGCAACUCUGAACCAGCCAUGCCGCGUGUGUGAAGAAGGUCUUCGGAUUGUAAAGCACUUUAAGUCGGGAGGAAGGGCUGUAGGCUAAUACCUUGCAGUUUUGACGUUACCGACAGAAUAAGCACCGGCUAACUUCGUGCCAGCCGCCGCCGUAACAC